rnacentral:rRNA from 1 species
UACGUAGGGAGCGAGCGUUGUCCGGAUUCAUUGGGCGUAAAGAGCUCGUAGGCGGCUUGAUAAGUCGGAUGUGAAACCUCCAGGCUCAACCUGGAGUCGCCAUCCGAUACUGUCAUAGCUAGAGUCCGGUAGGGGCCCACGGAACUCCUGGUGUAGCGGUGAAAUGCGCAGAUAUCAGGAAGAACACCCGUGGCGAAAGCGGCUCUCUGGAACGGUACUGACGCUGAGACGCGAAAGCGUGGGGAGCGAACAGG